rnacentral:rRNA from 1 species
AGUUUGAUCCUGGCUCAGAUUGAACGCUGGCGGCAGGCCUAACACAUGCAAGUCGAACGGCAGCACAGAAGAGCUUGCUCUUUGGGUGGCGAGUGGCGGACGGGUGAGUAAUGUCUGGGAAACUGCCCGAUGGAGGGGGAUAACUACUGGAAACGGUGGCUAAUACCGCAUAACGUCGCAAGACCAAAGUGGGGGACCUUCGGGCCUCACACCAUCGGAUGUGCCCAGAUGGGAUUAGCUAGUAGGUGGGGUGACGGCUCACCUAGGCGACGAUCCCUAGCUGGUCUGAGAGGAUGACCAGCCACACUGGAACUGAGACACGGUCCAGACUCCUACGGGAGGCAGCAGUGGGGAAUAUUGCACAAUGGGCGCAAGCCUGAUGCAGCCAUGCCCGCGUGUAUGAAGAAGGCCUUCGGGUUGUAAAGUACUUUCAGCGGGGAGGAAGGCGACGCGGUUAAUAACCGCGUCGAUUGACGUUACCCGCAGAAGAAGCACCGGCUAACUCCGUGCCAGCAGCCGCGGUAAUACGGAGGGUGCAAGCGUUAAUCGGAAUUACUGGGCGUAAAGCGCACGCAGGCGGUCUGUCAAGUCGGAUGUGAAAUCCCCGGGCUUAACCUGGGAACUGCAUUCGAAACUGGCAGGCUAGAGUCUUUGUAAAAGGGGGGGGUAAAUUUCCAGGUGUAGCGGUGAAAUGGCGUAGAGAUCUGGAGAAUACGGGUGGGCGAAGGCGGCCUCCUGGACAAGACUGACGCUC